rnacentral:rRNA from 1 species
GGCAGGCUUACACAUGCAAGUCGAGCGGGGGAAGGUAGCUUGCUACCGGACCUAGCGGCGGACGGGUGAGUAAUGCUUAGGAAUCUGCCUAUUAGUGGGGGACAACAUCUCGAAAGGGAUGCUAAUACCGCAUACGUCCUACGGGAGAAAGCAGGGGAUCUUCGGACCUUGCGCUAAUAGAUGAGCCUAAGUCGGAUUAGCUAGUUGGUGGGGUAAAGGCCUACCAAGGCGACGAUCUGUAGCGGGUCUGAGAGGAUGAUCCGCCACACUGGGACUGAGACACGGCCCAGACUCCUACGGGAGGCAGCAGUGGGGAAUAUUGGACAAUGGGGGGAACCCUGAUCCAGCCAUGCCGCGUGUGUGAAGAAGGCCUUAUGGUUGUAAAGCACUUUAAGCGAGGAGGAGGCUACUCUAGUUAAUACCUAGGGAUAGUGGACGUUACUCGCAGAAUAAGCACCGGCUAACUCUGUGCCAGCAGCCGCGGUAAUACAGAGGGUGCGAGCGUUAAUCGGAUUUACUGGGCGUAAAGCGUGCGUAGGCGGCUUAUUAAGUCGGAUGUGAAAUCCCCGAGCUUAACUUGGGAAUUGCAUUCGAUACUGGUGAGCUAGAGUAUGGGAGAGGAUGGUAGAAUUCCAGGUGUAGCGGUGAAAUGCGUAGAGAUCUGGAGGAAUACCGAUGGCGAAGGCAGCCAUCUGGCCUAAUACUGACGCUGAGGUACGAAAGCAUGGGGAGCAAACAGGAUUAGAUACCCUGGUAGUCCAUGCCGUAAACGAUGUCUACUAGCCGUUGGGGCCUUUGAGGCUUUAGUGGCGCAGCUAACGCGAUAAGUAGACCGCCUGGGGAGUACGGUCGCAAGACUAAAACUCAAAUGAAUUGACGGGGCCCGCACAAGCGGUGGAGCAUGUGGUUUAAU